AUGACUAUAGCCCUUGGUAGAAUUCCUAAAGAAGAAAAUGAUCUAUUUGAUACUAUGGAUGACUGGUUACGAAGGGACCGUUUCAUUUUUGUAGGAUGGUCUGCCCUAUUUCUCUUUCCUUGUGCUUAUUUCGCUUUAGGGGGUUGGUUUACAAGGACAACUUUUGUAACUUAUUGGUAUACCCAUGGAUUGGCUAGUUCCUAUUUGGAAGGUUGUAAUUUCUUAACCGCAACAGUUUCUACCCCUGCCAAUAGUUUAGCACACUCUUUGUUGCUACUAUGGGGGCCCGAAGCACAAGGAGAUUUUACUCGUUGGUGUCAAUUGGGCCGUCUAUGGACUUUUGUAGCUCUCCACGGGGCUUUUUCACUAAUAGGUUUCAUGUUUCGCCAAUUUGAACUUGCUCUGUCUGUUCAAUUGCGGCCUUAUAAUGCAAUCUCAUUCUCUGGUCCAAUUGUUGUUUUUGUUUUUGUAUUCCUUAUUUAUCCACUGGGGCAAUCUGGUUGGUUCUUUGCGCUGAGUUUUGAUGUAGCAGCGAUAUUUCGGUGCAUCCUUUUCUUCCAAGGAAUUCAUAAUUGGAUGUUGAACCCAUUUCAUAUGAUGGCAGUUGCCAGAGUAUUAGGUGCAGCUCUGCUAUGCGCUAUUCAUGGAGCGACCGUAGAAAACACUCUGUUUGAGGACGGUGAUGGUGCAAAUACCUUCCGUGCUUUUAACCCAACUCAAGCUGAAGAAACUUAUUCAAUGGUCACUACUAACCGCUUCUGGUCCCAAAUCUUUGGUGUUGCUUUUUCUAAUAAAUGUUGGUUACAUUUCUUUAUGCUAUUUGUACCCGUCACCGGUUUAUGGAUGAGUGCUAUUGGCCUAGUUGGCUAG
rnacentral:rRNA from 1 species